rnacentral:misc_RNA from 1 species
CACUAGAAAAUUACCUUGUUACUGAACACUUUAAGCUUCAGGUGUAGCUAAGGGGGCUUCUUUCUUUUCAUCAAUCGUAACAGCAUCUUUUUUAUCACCAACUGCUUUAUCAUUCUCAUCCACUUCCUUUUUUGGAGCAACCUUAAAUGUAUCUUCAUCAAAGUUCUCUACUAAAUCCGGUACCUCAUCAUCUUCUUCCAAGGUUGAUUUACCAACUGUGCUUCCAGAAACUGUACUUGCUAGUCGUUUCAACUGUGUAACACCUUCAGGACCCAACUGACUUAUUAUUCCCGGUAACAUGUCAGUUAUUUGUUUAUUCUCACCAUGACCAGUAAUGGCAAAUGUGUUAGCAGAUAAACUAGCUUGAGCUUUUGGAUUAUUGAAGUGGAUGACAGUACCAUCAUCCUUAAUCAUAUUAACCUCCUCUAUACCAGGAAUUGUAUUCACAGACAACUUUUUUAAACAACUUUGUAAUUUCUUAUCAUCUGUAGCAGCAGUAGCAUGAACAACCUAAAAAUAUAUUGAAUAUAGUUAAAUGUUAAUAGAUUGCACGUAUAUGUAUAUGUAGAUAGAUAUAUUGUUCAGUUAGUACAAUUUCUUUCUUGUAAAUUCUUAUACUCCACUACAGUAUAUCCAUAAAGAAUACAAAGAUUCAGUUUCUAUUGAAAUUAUAAACAUUGCGAUAUUAAUAAUUCUAGCCUAAAUUAAU